UUAUAUCGAAGUUGUGCUAUUGAUUCAACUGUAGCAAUUUAAUUUCUAGUUAUGCUGGGGCAUUUUGUAGCUAUGCUCUCACUAGCCCGUUUUUUCACUCACCAUAUUAGUCUAUCGGUGUUCUGAGACUUAUAAGGUAGUGUUUCUCUGUCUUUGAGAUCCUUUCAUUUAGCUACCGAUAGUCUUUCAGGUAUACAGUUAGCAUUUGGUUCUAGACCAG